UGGGCCUUUACAAUACAGGAAGGUAGUGGAUAGGGAGUUUUUACUGCCCUAAUUUCUGUCUUCAGUUGAUUGGCUCUUGUCAUUCCUUGACACAGUCUUUAGAUAAUAAAUAAAUGAAAUCAUUUUAGUUCUCUUCUGCUUAUCAGCCUGCUCAGUAUCACCAAUCAUUUGAAACUAGGUUUGAAGGGCCAAGAAGAGAGAAUAAGUAGUUAAUCUCAGUUUAGGAAAGGUGGAACAGGAGAUGUCUUUGCUCUAGUACUGAAGAGGAAAAAAGUUAAACUGGUGGAAGAAAUGCUUGUCUCCACAUUUUUUCCUAGUACAAAAGCAGUUAAGGCUAAGCUGUGGUGGCAUGUUUGUUCUGGGAGUGAUCCAUGAGCACACACAUCCCCACCCUUCAGUGUUUAGAGCCCAGAGAAUCAUAAACCAGAUCUGUGCAACAACUGGUUGCUCUCUGCUGCUAGGUAUGUGUGAAAUGGCCACCACUUCAAGAUUGUGCCUGGCUGCCUGAUGUCAUCAUUCAGAACUCACUGACUUGAGCUGUCAUCCUGCAUGAAGGUAUUGCUUAAUUUUACUCUGCUUUUCCUCUAUAUUCUCUGGAAAAACAGUGCGCUUGACUUUACACUCUGUUACAGAUUUGUCAUGUCCUUUCCAGCUUUUGAAAAACUAAGUAUCAUUAAAUUUACAGUGGAGUUGUGGAAGCUUGAGAACUUCAUGUGUUUUCAUGCCACUUAAAUAAGCAUAGAUGUGUCCUCUGCCUCAGAAAUCCUGUGCUUUGCUGAAUGUGCACAACUGUGUGUACCCUAGAGUCUGCCUUGCACAGUAGUAUCUACUAGUUCUUGCCAAUCAUGCAAGAAAGGAUUGAUAUAAAUAGAGGAUUGAACAGGAAUCAGUCGCUAGGUGAGAUAAAAUGCAGGUUUUAUGUUGACGAAGGAUAUGGUGCAGAGACAGAAAAGAUGCAGAAUACUUGAUAGUACUGUUCUGUUGGAAUAAUACACUCCAUAAAGUGUUAAUUAUUGUGCUUCAUUAGCCCCAGUGCCAUCUCUUUCAGAGAUUACAGAGCAGCAGAGUAGUAAAAC
ensembl:lncRNA